rnacentral:rRNA from 3 species
UGUUUCGGCUAGGGGGCCAUCCCGGCUUACCAACCCGAUGCAAACUGCGAAUACCGGAGAAUGUUAUCACGGGAGACACACGGCGGGUGCUAACGUCCGUCGUGAAGAGGGAAACAACCCAGACCGCCAGCUAAGGUCCCAAAGUCAUGGUUAAGUGGGAAACGAUGUGGGAAGGCCCAGACAGCCAGGAUGUUGGCUUAGAAGCAGCCAUCAUUUAAAGAAAGCGUAAUAGCUCACUGGUCGAGUCGGCCUGCGCGGAAGAUGUAACGGGGCUAAACCAUGCACCGAAGCUGCGGCAGCGAACGUAUCACUUAAAGCGAUUCAGCGGGUUACGAUUGACGGAGCGAAGCGACGUCAAAGCGUAUACAAAGUCGAGUCGGUUUAAGGAUACGUU